rnacentral:rRNA from 1 species
GCAAGUCGAAUGGGUUCAGACCCAUGGCAGACGAGGUAGGAACACGUAGGUACGUACCCAAGAGUCAGGGAUACUCCGGUGAAAAUCGGCAUAAUACUUGAUAGUCCCUUCGGGGUAAAGAUUUAUCGCUCUUGGAACGGCCUGCGGUCUAUCAGCUUGAUGGUAAGGUAACGGCUUACCAUGGCUACGACGGAUAGGGGAGGUGAGAGCCUGGCC